UACGAGGGGGGCGAGCGUUGUUCGGAAUUAUUGGGCGUAAAGGGUGCGUAGGCGGUUUUGUAAGUCUGAUGUGAAAUCUAUGGGCUCAACUCAUAGUCUGCAUCGGAAACUGCCGGGCUUGAGUGUGGGAGAGGUGAGUGGAAUUCCUGGUGUAGCGGUGAAAUGCGUAGAUAUCACUUGGAACGCCAAUGGUGAAAACAGAUAGCUGGGGUUGUGCUGACACUGAGACACGAAAGCCAGGGGAGCAAACGGG
rnacentral:rRNA from 1 species